rnacentral:rRNA from 1 species
GAUGAACGCUGACAGAAUGCUUAACACAUGCAAGUCUACUUGAACUUCGGUUUGGGUGGCGGACGGGUGAGUAACGCGUAAAGAACUUGCCUCACAGUUAGGGACAACAUUUGGAAACGAAUGCUAAUACCUGAUAUUAUGAUUUUAGGGCAUCCUAAGAUUAUGAAAGCUAUAUGCGCUGUGAGAGAGCUUUGCGUCCCAUUAGCUAGUUGGAGAGGUAACGGCUCACCAAGGCGAUGAUGGGUAGCCGGCCUGAGAGGGUGAACGGCCACAAGGGGACUGAGACACGGCCCUUACUCCUACGGGAGGCAGCAGUGGGGAAUAUUGGACAAUGGACCAAAAGUCUGAUCCAGCAAUUCUGUGUGCACGAUGACGUUUUUCGGAAUGUAAAGUGCUUUCAGUU